CUGGCUGUGGAGCCUUUGGUUGGGGGUUCGGUCCCCCACUGUGCCUGCACUGGACAAUAUGUCGGGUCCCUUCCAGUUCCCCGGUUCCAAGAUAUACAGGAAUCAUCACUUUGUCCCAGGAAAUGGGAUAACGUUCCAGGCCAUCCUGCUUGUUGUUUCUCUGUUAGGAAUCUUGCUUGUUAAUAGUGUUGACUCUGGCACCCCCUGCUGCCGUCCCGGCGCUUAAUAUGGAUGCCAAGGAUGGGCUUGUUUGUUUUCUGUAGAGGCAUCCAUCUUUCUCCCGGUUACCUCAGGCACAGAAUGUGGCAGGAUCUCCUCUCACCGGCCCAAAGGCUCAAAUUUUGGCCCCAACCCAGUUCCUGCCUCCAAAUGCAUUUCCUUCUUCGGGUGAAGCUCUGAGUGUCGGUGCCGGAACCGCAGGGUCCUUGGCUGUGCAGGCAGGAAUCUCACAGGGCCAGUUUCCUGGUGCAGCUGUUCCUCCCCUCAGACCACACUACGGCCGGCUCUCCGACCCUGCGCUUCCCGCCGCCGUUCCUUCGGCCAGCGUGCUCGUUCCUUGGCCCCAGGCUCCUCUCUGGUUUGCCGCUCCGCAGGCAGCGGUCGCUGCUGGUCAGACAGGACCGAAAUCCUUCGUUGGCAUGAUACCCAUCCCAGCAGCCGGCCUGGAUCCGGUUGUGGCAUGGACGCCAAGCGUGCUUUCCUUGAGGCAACCAAGAGAGAGAAACAGGGGCGUAAAUAGCAGCGCAGCUCAUGACCCCAGGGCGGUCUCCGCCUGCGCCAAUCCCGGGACUGUUUUGGCUCCUGUCAGCUCUGGACCCUUAGCCCAGGCCGGUAAGGCUUCCACGUGACUGAGUCACACAGACCUGGAAGCAGCAGUGGUUAAAACGAGGCCAAGUCCCUUCAGAAGAGAUCUUGAUUUGGUCUAGAGUGAUGGUUCUGGAUCUUCUUCGACUACAACUCCCAGAAAUCCUGGCCAAUACAGCGAAUGGUGAAGGCUUCUGGGAGUUUUAGUCCAAGGUUGGGAACCACAGAUCUAGAGUGACAGUACUCAGUUCAGUUUGUGCCCCCAAACUCAAGUCAGUUUUGGUAGCAGGGAAGGCUAAGUCCUCUCACUGCCUUACGUUGGAAAACUGAGAAAGGUAUCCCUUUUUUUUAAUUUUUUGCCGACUUCUUUCUGGAAACUUGAUGGACCUAAAUUUGGGAGUCAACCACCCCACCCCCAAAUUUUAUACCACUUUAACCCUUUUGGCACCUCAUCUGCUAAAGUAGACAUCUCAAACGACUGGGGAAACCAACCAAGUGCAACAGCCUUAGUUUAAUCGUUUUUUACUCUUAGAGAGAGUUUAUUUCUUUUGUUUGUUUGAUUUAUAGACUCCUCUUGCCU
rnacentral:lncRNA from 1 species